CGAGGAGGCCAGGCGGCCGCCGGCCCCGCAAGGGGCGGGAGGAAAGUCCGGGCUCCGCAGGGCAGGGUGCCGGGUAACGCCCGGUGGGGGCGACCCCGAGGACAGUGCCACAGAAAACACACCGCCUCCCGCUUCGGCGGGCGGUAAGGGUGAAGUGGUGAGGUAAGAGCUCACCGCGCGGCGGGCGACCGUCGCGGCAUGGCAAACCCCACCCGGAGCAAGGCCGAAUAGGAGGGCGUUUCCCCGGCGGUUUUUCCGCCGGGGGAUAAGGGCUGCCCGCCCGAUGCCCUCGGGUCCAGGCCGCUCAAGGCGCGCGGUAACGCCCGCCGUAGAGAAAUGGCCGCCACGCGGCGUUUGCGCGCCGCGCACAGAACCCGGCUUACGGCCUCCUCGGGCG
rnacentral:RNase_P_RNA from 1 species